UACAGAGGGGGCAAGCGUUGUUCGGAAUCACUGGGCGUAAAGCGUGCGUAGGCGGUUCGUUAAGUCUGUUGUGAAAGCCCUGGGCUCAACCUGGGAACUGCAGUGGAUACUGGCGAGCUAGAGUACGGUAGAGGAAGGUGGAAUUCCCGGUGUAGCGGUGAAAUGCGUAGAGAUCGGGAGGAACACCAGUGGCGAAGGCGGCCUUCUGGACCAGUACUGACGCUGAGGCACGAAAGCGUGGGGAGCAAACAGG
rnacentral:rRNA from 1 species